ACACUGCUAAGCAUUAAAUCAAGAAAGCUACAAUCCCACAUAUUACCAAUGAAGUUCAGAAACCCUCCAGUCCUGCUUUUCAUUCUCUCCGUCCUUUCACUCUCGAUACCAUGGACAACUGCAGGAACAGUUUCCAUUGAUGGCUUUCUCCAAUGCCUCACAAAAUAUCCUCACCCUGCCCACACAAUCCAAGAAUCAAUUUACACCCCUCAAAAUAGCUCAUUUCAAUCUGUUUUGGUAGCACAUAUCAAUAACCGCAGAUAUUCUACAGCUGCAACUCCAAAACCUUUGGCCAUAAUAGCAGCCAAGAAUGAGUCCCACGUCCAGGCAACUGUGCUUUGUGCCAAACAUCAUGGGUUGCAAAUUAAAAUCCGAAGUGGUGGCCAUGAUUUCGAGGGUUUAUCUUACACGUCGGAUGUGCCCUUUGUCAUUCUCGACAUGUUUAACAUUAACUCCAUUGAUGUUAAUGUUGCUGAUAAGAGCGCUUGGGUUCACUCUGGAGCUACUCUUGGAGAAGUUUAUUAUGCAAUUGGUACAAAAACCAACGUUUACGGCUUUCCUGCUGGGAUUUGUCCAACAGUUGGUGCUGGUGGCCAUUUUAGUGGCGGCGGCUAUGGGUUUUUGAUGAGAAAGUAUGGGCUUAGCGUCGAUAAUAUCGUGGAUGCUAGGCUAGUUACUGCCAAUGGUAGAAUCCUUGAUAGAAAGUCAAUGGGAGAGGACCUUUUCUGGGCCAUCAGAGGAGGUGGUGGAGCUAGCUUCGGAGUUAUUCUUUCAUGGAAGCUCAAGCUGGUUCCAGUUCCAGCCAAAGUGACUGUGUUCAACCUUACAAAGACCAUAGAGGAAGGUGUUACAGAUUUGGUUUACAAGUGGCAAACUCUUGCACCCCAGCUGCCCAAAGAGGUCUUCCUCAGAGCACAGCCACAAGUGAAGAAUAUUGAUACCAAGGGAAACAAGACUGUGGCUGUAUCAUUCAUUGGCCAUUUCUUGGGAACAAGUGACAAGGUUGUGGCAUUGUUGAAUGAGAGUUUCCCUGAACUGGGCUUACAACGAAAAGACUGCUAUGAAGUAAGCUGGGUGGAAUCCACUGUAUUUUGGGCUGAAAGUCCUAUUGGAACCCCUAUAGAAAUUCUUCUCAGCAAGCCAACUGAACCAGAGACCUUCUACAAAGGUAAGUCAGACUAUGUGAAGGAACCAAUUCCAAAACAUGUUUUUGAUUCCAUAUGGAAGAAGAUGAUUGAGAUAGAGCACAUUUGGAUGGAUUGGAACCCUCAUGGUGGAAGAAUGAGUGAGAUUUCUGAGUCAGCAACUCCAUACCCUCACAGGGCCGGAAACCUAUUUUUUGCUCUAUACUAUUCGUCGUGGUAUGACGAAGGGAUUGAGGCCACCAACAAGUACGUUAGCUUAACAAGAGAGUUAUAUGACAUGAUGACACCAUAUGUCUCCAAGAGUCCAAGAGAGGCGUUCCAAAACUACAGGGACCUCGACAUAGGUGCGAACCAGGAUAAUAAGACUAACUUUGAAACUGCUACACUUUAUGGAAGGAAGUACUUCAAAGGUAAUUUUGAUAGAUUGGUGCGUGUGAAAACCAUGGUCGAUCCUCUCAAUUUUUUCAAGCAUAAGCAAAGUAUCCCCCCUCUUUAGAGAGAGAUGUAUACUAUGUAUAUGUGAUGUUCAAAAAGAAUAAAUUCCACCUCCGAGAGAGAGAAAGAGAGACAGGGAGAUAGAUAUAGAAUAAGUGGAAGAAGGUUAACAUAAAUCAUCUUAUGAGCUGUUUGUCAUGCUUGAUGAUGUUGUUGAUGUUACCAAAAUAUUGAUUUGAUUUGUUGUAAAAUAAAGCUUGUAGUCUACAAUGACGAUCUCUUGUAAGUUGUAAUCUCUACUAUAUAUGUGUUCUUUGUAAACCCUAAUAUAAUCAACAAGUCCUUCACAUA
rnacentral:lncRNA from 1 species